ACGGGUGAGUAACACGUGGGCAAUCUGCCCUGCACUCUGGGACAAGCCCUGGAAACGGGGUCUAAUACCGGAUACGACCUUCCUCCGCAUGGGGGUUGGUGGAAAGCUCCGGCGGUGCAGGAUGAGCCCGCGGCCUAUCAGCUUGUUGGUGGGGUAAUGGCCUACCAAGGCGACGACGGGUAGCCGGCCUGAGAGGGCGACCGGCCACACUGGGACUGAGACACGGCCCAGACUCCUACGGGAGGCAGCAGUGGGGAAUAUUGCACAAUGGGCGAAAGCCUGAUGCAGCGACGCCGCGUGAGGGAUGACGGCCUUCGGGUCGUAAACCUCUUUCAGCAGGGAAGAAGCGCAAGUGACGGUACCUGCAGAAGAAGCACCGGCUAACUACGUGCCAGCAGCCGCGGUAAUACGUAGGGUGCGAGCGUUGUCCGGAAUUAUUGGGCGUAAAGAGCUCGUAGGCGGCCUGUCGCGUCGGAUGUGAAAGCCCGGGGCUUAACCCCGGGUCUGCAUUCGAUACGGGCAGGCUAGAGUGUGGUAGGGGAAAUCGGAAUUCCUGGUGUAGCGGUGAAAUGCGCAGA
rnacentral:rRNA from 1 species